GUUCAAGGAAAUUCUGACUUCUCCUACUAAGGAGCAGACUAUACAGCUGAUGACUAAAUGAUUGCUUAUUAGCCUCUUUCCUGCUUUAAAUGAAGACAUUCGUUUGGAGGUCUCUGGAAUUUGCAUGGUGUGAGUCAUUUAUCUUUAGGUCUUAUCCUUUUGCAGUGGACUGAUUAAGGCUGCCAUCCACCUGCACAAUUGAGAAAACUGCUGAUCAACUCAGAGAGAUCUCUCAAAGGCUGAGAUGUUCCUGUUUUGUUGGAAUGUGGAGACUGGAGAUUCUCUAAGAGGCAAGCUCACAGAGGUUACAGCCGUAGAGCACUUACUGCCUGCUAUCUUCCAGGGCUGGUUUCUGCUCAUAUCUGUCAUCUAUAUCCUUAAGCUGAUCCUUUACAGAAAGGAAUUUAGCAUCAGGGAGACUACCCUUCCCAGAUCCCGUGCCAUUAAGUGGGGCCAUUGACUAGUCCUUAUUCCUGAAAUGUGAGCUGAAAAGCCUCUGUGUGAUUUUCGAUUUCUACUAUUCUUGGAAAGGAGUUCUGAAACGACAUUCUGAUUGUGAGUUUCCAUCAGCUGGAGAGAUGUUGUGGAGUCGAGCAAAGUGUUCUUGCAUUGAACAUUCAGAAUUAAAAAGAAGUAAGUCUUUUUGUAUUA